rnacentral:lncRNA from 1 species
UCAUAAGUCAGGUUUGUCCCGGCGAUAUAAAAGUCGGAUACACACUCCGCGAAAAAGAAAGACUGACACGAUACUUUUUAUUCAUCAAUAUAUAGCUUGCAACGCAUGGGUACAUUAUUAAUAGUAGUAGUAAAACAUUACAUGAUCGCGGGUGCACCACAAAUUGUGAAAUAGGAAACAUUGAAUAUAGAUAAAUAAAAGGGAAAACGAGAGGUGAGCAUAUGCGAAUGUUUCACCAAUCUAGUGUUACAGAAUGAUGGUAUAAAUGGUAAAUAAACUCGGAUUAAUGGCCGGCAUACCCACGCUGCAGGCGGUGAUGAGGGGCCCGUUGGAAGCUAGGUGGGUAUGGCCAGGCACAGCUGCACGCAGGAUUUCUCACAUCCAGGGGUGAAUACAUCAACACAGGUCUUGCCCAGCACUUGCAGCGCCGUCCCUUGCACGCCGCAAAUGAGUUUCUCGCACAAUACCUUCUCUGCAAAGUCCUUGCAGACAUCUCUGCAGUUUUGUUCGCAAACAUACCUGCUAGUACUGCAAGUUGGCACAACUAACCCGAGGAAGUCAGCGGCCAUCGCCGGCUGCCCCGCGGUGGACAGAACGAUGACCAGCACGGCACACGCGGCCGCCAUCUUAAGCUUGGAGGCAGCCAUUGAUUGAUAUCCGUACCAAGGAAUUAAAGAUAUGGCCAAGAGAAGAUGGCAACUACUGAGAGUGUGUAGUACUGGUGCUCUUACGAGUGCAGGGCGAUGCUGUUUUUAUAGGCAACGACGUGCUAGCAAGCUAG